rnacentral:rRNA from 1 species
CACGUAGGGUGCGAGCGUUGUCCGGAAUUAUUGGGCGUAAAGAGCUCGUAGGCGGUGUGUCGCGUCGGCCGUGAAAACCUGCAGCUUAACUGUGGGCUUGCGGUCGAUACGGGCAUCACUGGAGUUCGGCAGGGGAGACUGGAAUUCCUGGUGUAGCGGUGAAAUGCGCAGAUAUCAGGAGGAACACCGGUGGCUAAGGCGGGUCUCUGGGCCGAUACUGACGCUGAGGAGCGAAAGCGUGGGGAGCGAACAGG